AGAAAAUCCGUUGGCUUUAGUGGCCGUGAGGGUUCAAGUCCCUCUACCCCC
rnacentral:tRNA from 1 species